ACGAACGCUGGCGGCGUGCUUAACACAUGCAAGUCGAACGGAAAGGCCCUGCUUUUGUGGGGUUCUCGAGUGGCGAACGGGUGAGUAACACGUGAGUAACCUGCCCUUGACUUUGGGAUAACUUCAGGAAACUGGGGCUAAUACCGGAUAGGAGCUCCUGCUGCCUGGUGGGGGGUGGAAAGUUUCGGCGGUUGGGGAUGGACUCGCGGCUUAUCAGCUUGUUGGUGGGGUAGUGGCUUACCAAGGCUUUGACGGGUAGCCGGCCUGAGAGGGUGACCGGCCACAUUGGGACUGAGAUACGGCCCAGACUCCUACGGGAGGCAGCAGUGGGGAAUAUUGCACAAUGGGCGGAAGCCUGAUGCAGCAACGCCGCGUGCGGGAUGACGGCCUUCGGGUUGUAAACCGCUUUCGCCUGUGACGAAGCGUGAGUGACGGUAAUGGGUAAAGAAGCACCGGCUAACUACGUG
rnacentral:rRNA from 1 species